UACAGAGGGGGCUAGCGUUGUUCGGAAUUACUGGGCGUAAAGGGCGCGUAGGUGGCCUGUUAAGUCGAACGUGAAAUCCCCGGGCUCAACCCGGGAACUGCGUCCGAGACUGGCAGGCUCGAAUCCGGGAGAGGGAUGUGGAAUUCCAGGUGUAGCGGUGAAAUGCGUAGAUAUCUGGAGGAACACCGGUGGCGAAGGCGGCAUCCUGGACCGGUAUUGACGCUGAGGAGCGAAAGCGUGGGGAGCGAACAGG
rnacentral:rRNA from 1 species